UCGAUACUUGCCGAGAGUAGGGAACUUUUGGCAUCAGUUCUGGUUUUUCUUUGGGGGUAAGCGGGGUUCCUGUACCAAAAGAUUCAUCAGUCCGCAUCAAGUGUCCGGGUUGCCAAGUUCGACCCGUGUUCCAUUCCAAUCUUUCUAGCCAGACUCACAAAAAACUACAACCAUGGCUGACGAUGAGCGAAAGCGCAUCGAGGAGGUUUGUCCAAAAUACACAUUAUCAAAUAAAAUAACACAAUGU